UCACGCUGGGGGACAGCAGCCACCGUGUCAUGAAGACACUCAAGGAGCCCUGCAUAGCCACCUGGAUGGAGAGGACCUGAGGCCUCCCACCGACAGCCAGCACCCACUUGCCAGCUGUGUAGAAUUAUCUGGAACAGAGCUCUGCUGAUCUGGUGGCAGACAGGCAUUCUUUAUUCUGUUAGGGGAAAAAAAAAAAUUUCAGGAAACCCUGGAUGGCUCCAGGCAAGUUCCUGCCAUUGAGUAACAGAGAGGCGGAAGUGAAAACAUUCUCCCAUCGGGUUUGCCCAACAGUGAAACCACGAGGGACUGAGAGACUUAAGGGAGGAAGAGGGAAGGAGCCACGGCUCAGCACCCAGACGUUAAGUGCACGACCCGCCAAGCUAUCAGGAGACCACACAGUAGAAAGACCAGUGGUGACUACCCUGCCAUGAAUUCACUUGACAAGCAUCCAUCUUUCCUGGCAUUAGUUUUCUCGUCUAUAAAAUGAGAUACAGGUGUACAACAGAGACGAUGAGAAUUCUGAGCCUUGUUUUGUGGCAAUUCUACCAGAAGGGGACUGCAUGGCACCACCACAAGAUUUCGUAAAUUACCCUGAACAUACUCAGUUAUUCACUAUUUGUUCGG